rnacentral:rRNA from 1 species
UUCACGCCGCGUGAGGGAUGAACGCCUCUGGGCUGUAAACCUCUUUUAUCAAGGAAGAAGACUGACGGUACUUGAUGAAUAAGCCACGGCUAAUUCCGUGCCAGCAGCCGCGGUAAUACGGGAGUGGCAAGCGUUAUCCGGAAUUAUUGGGCGUAAAGCGUCCGCAGGCGGUCUUGUAAGUCUGUCGUUAAAGCGUGGAGCUUAACUCCAUUUGAGCGAUGGAAACUGCAAGACUAGAGUGUGGUAGGGGCAGAGGGAAUUCCCGGUGUAGCGGUGAAAUGCGUAGAUAUCGGGAAGAACACCAGUGGCGAAGGCGCUCUGCUGGGCCAUAACUGACGCUCAUGGACGAAAGCCAGGGGAGCGAAAGGGAUUAGAUACCCCUGUAGUCCUGGCCGUAAACGAUGAACACUAGGUGUCGGGGGAAUCGACCCCCUCGGUGUCGUAGCCAACGCGUUAAGUGUUCCGCCUGGGGAGUACGCACGCAAGUGUGAAACUCAAAGGAAUUGACGGGGGCCCGCACAAGCGGUGGAGUAUGUGGUUUAAUUCGAUGCAACGCGAAGAACCUUACCCAGGGUUUGACAUCCUGCGAAUCCCUUGGAACGAGGGAGUGCCUUCGGGAGCGCAGUGACAGGUGGUGCUUGGCUGUCGUCAGCUCGUGUCGUGAGCAU